GGAUUAGAUACCCUGGUAGUCCACGCCGUAAACGAUGUCUACUUGGAGGUUGUUCCCUUGAGGAGUGGCUUUCGGAGCUAACGCGUUAAGUAGACCGCCUGGGGAGUACGGCCGCAAGGUUAAAACUCAAAUGAAUUGACGGGGGCCCGCACAAGCGGUGGAGCAUGUGGUUUAAUUCGAUGCAACGCGAAGAACCUUACCUACUCUUGACAUCCAGAGAACUUAGCAGAGAUGCUUUGGUGCCUUCGGGAACUCUGAGACAGGUGCUGCAUGGCUGUCGUCAGCUCGUGUCG
rnacentral:rRNA from 1 species